CAUGGUGUAGGGGUGAAAUCCGUUGAUAUCAUGGGGAAUACCAAAUGCGAAAGGCAGCUUACUGGCACUUUCCUGACGCUGAGGCACGAAAGCAUGGGUAGCGAACGGGAUUAGAUACCCCGGUAGUCCAUGCCCUAAACGUUGUCAACUGGCUUUGGGGGGAAUCGACCCCCUCCGAGGCGAAGCUAACGCGUUAAGUUGACCGCCUGGGUAGUACGAGCGCAAGCUUAAAACUCAAAGGAAUAGACGGGGGCUCGCACAAGCGGUGGAUCAUGAGGCUUAAUUCGUCGAUAAGCGAAAAACCUUACCGAGGCUAGAAACCAUACUGCACGCCUCCCGAAAGGGAGGAAGCCUUCGAGGGUGUAUGGCAGGUGAUGCAUGGCCGUCGUCAGUUCGUGGCUUGAGUUGUUCCCUUAAGUGGGGAAACGAACGCAACCCUCGUUGCCUGUUACAAGUGUCAGGCGAGACUGCUCCCUCACGGGAGAGGAAGGUGAGGAUGACGCCAGGUCAGCAUGUCCCUUGAUGCCUCGGGCUGCACUCGUGAUACAAUGGGACACACAAAGGGACGCAAUACCGCAAGGUGGAGCAAAUCCUGAUAAAAGGUCCCCCAGUUCGGAUUGUGGGCUGCAACUCGCCCGCAUGAAGCCGGAAUCGCUAGUAAUCGUAAAUCAGCACGUCACGGUGAAUACGUUCCCGAGCCUUGUACUCACCGCCCGUCAAGUCAGGGGAGUCGGGAGUGCCCGAAGUCCGUCCUCGCGGCGGCCGACGGUAAGCUCGAUAACAAGGACUAAGUCGUAACAAGGUAACC
rnacentral:rRNA from 1 species